CUAGGCUUGCAUUUACACACAAGCUCAAGCAACCUACCCGAACUCUCGGCGGGCCACCGAUUGAGUUCCUAUUUGGUCUUGCUACGAGUGGAGUUUACCUAGCUGCCAAAUGUUACCACUGGCACGGUGCGCUCUUACCGCACCCUUUCACCCUUACCAGCCAAAGCUGGCGGUCUGCUCUCUGUUGCACUAGUCGUAGGCUCGCGCCCCCCGGACGUUAUCCGGCACUCG
rnacentral:misc_RNA from 1 species